rnacentral:rRNA from 1 species
GGAAUAUUGGACAAUGGGCGCAAGCCUGAUCCAGCCAUGCCGCGUGAGUGAUGAAGGCCCUAGGGUUGUAAAGCUCUUUCACCGGUGAAGAUAGUGACGGUAACCGGAGAAGAAGCCCCGGCUAACUUCGUGCCAGCAGCCGCGGUAAUACGAAGGGGGCUAGCGUUGUUCGGAAUCACUGGGCGUAAAGCGCACGUAGGCGGAUGUGCCAGUCAGGGGUGAAAUCCCGGAGCUCAACUUCGGAACUGCCUCUGAUACAGCACGUCUUGAGUCCGGAAGAGGUGGGUAGAAUUCCUAGUGUAGAGGUGAAAUUCGUAGAUAUUAGGAAGAACACCGGUGGCGAAGGCGGCCCACUGGUCCGGUACUGACGCUGAGGUGCGAAAGCGUGGGGAGCAAAC